AACGAACGCUGGCGGCAUGCCUAACACAUGCAAGUCGAACGAGAUCUUCGGGUCUAGUGGCGCACGGGUGCGUAACGCGUGGGAAUCUGCCCUUUGGUUCGGAAUAACAGUUGGAAACGACUGCUAAUGCCGGAUGAUGACGAAAGUCCAAAGAUUUAUCGCCAGAGGAUGAGCCCGCGCAGGAUUAGCUAGUUGGUGUGGUAAAGGCGCACCAAGGCGACGAUCCUUAGCUGGUCUGAGAGGAUGAUCAGCCACACUGGGACUGAGACACGGUCCAGACUCCUACGGGAGGCAGCAGUGGGGAAUAUUGGACAAUGGGCGGAAGCCUGAUCCAGCAAUGCCGCGUGAGUGAUGAAGGCCUUAGGGUUGUAAAGCUCUUUUACCCGGGAUGAUAAUGACAGUACCGGGAGAAUAAGCUCCGGCUAACUCCGUGCCAGCCGCCGCCGUAA
rnacentral:rRNA from 1 species